UGCAUGAUAUGUUGCACAAAUCACCUUUGCAAAAAGCAGACACAUUUUAUAUUUAUAUAUAUAUAUAUAUUAAAUAUAUAUGUUGCCAAGACAACAUUUCUCAUUUUAAUUUUAAGUACUAAAACAACUACAAACUAAAUAAAUUAAACUUCAUAAAACUAUAAAGACAUAUUAAAGACAUGUUAAACAAGACAAAACACAUGCAGCAAAAUAAGAAACAGAAAAUGUAAAAAUAAAAUCUAAUUAAUAAAAUAUCAACAAACUAUAAAAGUAUCUUAAUGAUGCUAAAGUAACACUGUGUCCAGUGCAACUAAAACACAGGGCAUGUUUGUAAGCAAGAUUCUUGAUGUCAGUUUUUCUCUGAUAUGUUAUACACAAGGAUUACAGCUUGUCAUUUCACAAGAGUCAACGAUGAGACAAGAACAAAAUUACAAGGAAGUGCUUGCUAGAAAAGAAGACUAACUAGCAAAACAAGUGUUGCUCCUUCCAGAACUAGACAGAUGCCUCAUUAUUUCAACAGUCAUAAAACUGGAACAUUGUCUGCAAGAAGAAACUGCAAAAGAAGUUCAACAACCCUGACAGACAAAAAAAAAAGAAAAAGAAAAAAGAAAAGAAAAGAAAAUGCAGAGAUGCAUUUGCAGGACCAGUGGCUCGCGCGUCAGUGACAUUAACAACCUGAGAAUCAUGCAGACGCUGAACGACGCCACGUUUGAACUGGAGGAGCGAGACAACUUUCUUAUUUCUUAACAAUCAUCUGUACUAUAUAAUUUGUGAUUGAUAUUAUACAGUAUGAAACAAAAGUGAAAAAAACGUCAAUUUUAAAUGUUCUAAACAAUGUUCUAAACAGUUUUGUGAUUUAUUUCUUUAAUUUAAUUGUUAUCUUCCGAAUCUUUAUCUAAUAGGCCUCUUAUCAGCUGUUUUUAUUCCCAUCUAUCUUUUAUCUCAUAUGAACUGAAUAUUUGUUUCAUACAACUGAACUUCCCUAGAGUCUGUAAAAAAACAAACAAUAACGGAUUAUUUUGUAGAAGAAAUUUACUGAGCAAAUAUAGAUUUUUUUUUGGUUAAUUUUAAUUAAAUUCUAUUUACUUUUCAGUGUGAACAUUUCUAACAAGAAAUAAGUAAAUAUUGGAUAGCAAAUAUUUUAUUUUAUUUUUGCAGUGUGAAACUACCUUCUGCAUUUUCUACUGCAGAUCCUUUCAGCUCUUGCUGAAGUAUUAGGAUGAUUAAAACCUUUCUAGCAUGUCUGUUAUCAUAUUCUAUCAGUGGAAAAACACCAUAACUAUUUUUAACAAAAGUGCUGCCAACAGUUCAAACCGGUUCUCACAAAGAUAAACACGGUUUUCUUCUGCGACUGUUUCUGUUUGAGAUCUCAGAGCCUGAGGAGAAAGUUCCCAGAAGGUCAGGAACAGCCACAAAUAUUAUACUUAAUUAAUUAUAAUACUGGUAUUUAUAAAAGUGGCGUUUGCUAAGAUGAGCAUCAUUGUUGUGAUCAAACUUGUAGAUUUAAACUAAUUAAAUGCAUCCUUCAGCAUUUUUGUUUCAGACAUAUAUGCUUUGACAAU
rnacentral:lncRNA from 1 species